AGUGAACGCUGGCGGUAGGCCUAACACAUGCAAGUCGAACGGCAGCACAGUAAGAGCUUGCUCUUACGGGUGGCGAGUGGCGGACGGGUGAGGAAUACAUCGGAAUCUACUUUUUCGUGGGGGAUAACGUAGGGAAACUUACGCUAAUACCGCAUACGACCUACGGGUGAAAGCAGGGGAUCUUCGGACCUUGCGCGAUUGAAUGAGCCGAUGUCGGAUUAGCUAGUUGGCGGGGUAAAGGCCCACCAAGGCGACGAUCCGUAGCUGGUCUGAGAGGAUGAUCAGCCACACUGGAACUGAGACACGGUCCAGACUCCUAAGGGAGGCAGCAGUGGGGAAUAUUGGGCAAUGGGCGCAAGCCUGAUCCAGCCAUACCGCGUGGGUGAAGAAGGCCUUCGGGUUGUAAAGCCCUUUUGUUGGGAAAGAAAAGCAGCAGGUUAAUACCCCGCUGUUCUGACGGUACCCAAAGAAUAAGCACCGGCUAACUUCGUG
rnacentral:rRNA from 1 species